AGAAUUGAACGCUAGGCGGCAUGCUUUACACAUGCAAGUCGAACGGCAGCACGGGGGCAACCCUGGUGGCGAGUGGCGAACGGGUGAGUAAUGCAUCGGAACGUAUCCUUGAGUGGGGGAUAACGCAGCGAAAGUUGUGUCUAAUACCGCAUUAAGCUCUGAGGGAGGGAAAGCGGGGGACCGAAAGGCCUCGCGCUGAAGGAGCGGCCGAUGUCCGAUUAGCUAGUUGGU
rnacentral:rRNA from 1 species